rnacentral:siRNA from 1 species
UACUAGGACGGGUGACCUCCCGG